AACUCUCCCCACCUGGCUUCAGUAAAGGGCUGAUGCCAUCCAGCUGCAAAGGUCUAAUCAGCUGGAAGGAGUAAUUGUGUUAGUGCUACAGCCAAUCAUACUAUUAGUGACCCUCAUGCAGUGAACCUUGGACCAUGCUCUUUUGAUUUAGGACUUGGACCUUUUGGUGAGACUCUAUGUAUUUGAUCAUCUGGAAUUGACACUGGAAUUUGCUUUGCUUGCUCCUUUUCCUUGGACAGACUAUGGCUUGAAUCUCAGAUUGCCUCUGACCAUGCAUUGGAUGAAAGGCUGCAGAUCAUGACCCCAGAAUACAAGGAAAGACGGGAGGGAAUGCGGUAAGAAGGCUCCCCUUGCUUUCCCACUGCUCAUGGGAUAAGCUCCCUUCUCUAAGCAGGGCAUGACAAUAGUCUCCAAAUGUCUUCCACAUAACCCAUGUAGCCUCACAAGGCAUGGAGUGAAGCAGAAAGAAGCCAGAGACAUGGCUCUUCCCUAUUACAUGAAGAGGAACAUAAGACCACAUGCCAAUUCCAGUCAAACCUCUAUCUAGCCCAGCAUCCUUUCUCCACCGUAGCAACCAGUUCCAUCUGGGAAGUCCACCAGAUUUGAAAGCAAGCAUGCCCCUGGACAUAACAUGGAAUCCUAGCACUGGAAGAGGCCUCAUGGGCCAUGUAGUCCAACCUCCUGCUCAGUGUAGGAUCUGCAGCUAAACCAUUCCCAGAAAGCAGCUCUCCAAUCUCCUUUUGAAGAUACCCAGAGAAGAAGACACCAUCAUCUCCCUAGAAGAGAAAUGACCUGCAAUUAUCUAUAAGAACUAAGUCAAGAUAUCACCAUGGUUCACUGAAGACCUUGAUGAGGACUUUCCAAAUUAAUCCCUGGAGCUGAGGUCGCUCCAUGAAUCUCUCUCUAAAAAUGAGUCAAGUUGGCAUACAUGAUAAAUAAGGUGGCACGUGCAUAAUUCCCUGAACUCCUUCACCUCACUUUGUGUGUGUUUAUUACUCAGCCAUCCUCUUCCUAUCCAUCAAGCAUUAAAAUCUCACAAGGGACACUCAAACAAUGAGCUUGGUUCUGCUGACUCAAAACAUUGCUAUUCAUCAAAAGCUUUGGAGCCAAAAUUCCUUUUAGCCUUUUGAGCUGUUUAACUUGCCGACUUCUUUAAUAUGCACUGGAGGACCUGCAGAAGUUGGCAACAGAAUUGCAAUGGAGGAACUCGAAAAAUGCCCAGAGAAAACAUAUUUUCCGGUCACGUGUGGAGCAGCUGUGGAGGUGAGGGCAGAUGCAGCAUUGCAAAUAAUUAUAUCUGCAAAUAUUUAACCUGUAAAUGUGGAGAUGUUAAUAUACUACUCUGCUCCUCCUUUUCCUCAACUACUAUUAUUUUGCAACAACAGCUACUAUUGCUGCUACUAUAAUUUGUAUUACAGUCUCUCCUUUUCUAGAAUUAUCUGAUAUUUUCCCAGAAAGCAAUUCCUAGGUUGAAGUGAAUAGAAUGUGAUGCUAAUAACAGCAUAUCUCCUUUAGGUAUUUUAUUAGCCCCCCCACCCCUCAAAAUCCAGUCCAGUAAUGAAAGAUCUGUAACCCCAUAAAUCACAUAAUAAAUCUCCAAAAACAAGGCAAAGGGAAUGUUUUGUGUUUCCGACCAGCAGGAUUCUAUACAGCUGGAGGCCACUUUGGCAUCUUUUCCACUACUGUGGCCUUUCCAAAAUACCUUUCUAGGAAUGUUGAGGUUCUCCAACAUAGCCCUAUGGUAACCUUUAGUGAAAGUCAUUCCUUUCAGUAGGGUUCAUUAUCAUCCACAGUUGCUUUUCUCCACAAAAGUCUACAAAAAUGGUGGAAAUAUCUCAAUAUUCCCAGGCUAGUAUCUCUCCAAGGUCUCCUAGCUUUGAUAGUGUCCAACUUCUGUUCAGCAGUAACUUUGGAAAGAUGGUGAAGAAGGAAUUCAGUGUCAGGAGUCAGUAGCACAGAUAUAAUAAUGUAAUAAGCGAAAGAUUGAGCUGGGGAAGGAUGAGAUUCUACUCUAAUUCUACAGCAGUUCUGUGCAUCUGCCUUCAACAGGCAAGGUCAACUGCAGCUUCUUUUAGAAUCUCUUACCAAACAUUUUUUUUCAUGUCAGGAACGACUUGAGAAAAUGCAAGUCGCUUCUGGUGUAAGACAGUUGGCCAUCUGCAAGGAUGUUGCACAGAUGUAAUAUCAUCCUGUGGAAGGUUUCUCUGAUAUCCUCACAUGGGGAGCUGGAGCUGACAGAUGGGAGCUCACCCCGCUCCCUGGGACAUUUCGGUCAGCAGGCCUGCCAGCACAAGGGCACAACACAUUGCACAUACCGAACAUUAAGGACCAGCGAAACAAGCGAGAAAGGAGACAGCAAAUAACCCUGCCUUGCCAGCUAUUUCCAGUAUAUUUAAAAACCAAGCAAAACAAUAGAUCUGUGUGUUUGGGCACCAAAAUGGAAAGCAAAGUAGAUGCUGGUCAAAGAAAAAGCCAACCUUAAAUGCAUUUUGGAAAAAUCCUUCAAGUCUCUUGUAGGUCCAAGAAAAUUCUGUUUACUUAGGCAAAGCUUACCUGCCCGGGUGGUUUUAUUUCACAUGUGCAAAUUGUUAGUUCUGAAUGAAAUAUCUGCUGAAAUGCACUUGAACUGCCUGUCUUAUUUUGUAGCAAAAGAAUCUGUUAUUUCCAUGUUAUUUCUACUCCUGGCAUCCAGUUCUCAGUUAAAGAAAUAAUGCCCAAGCACACAACUACUUUGUUAAGUGAGGUAUAACUUGCUUCAGAGAGAUUCCACCAGAAUCUUGCCAAUCUAUGAAGUUAUUCACCUAGAGGUACCCACAGGUUUCCACAUUUUUAAGAGUAAUAAUAACAAUAACAUUACAUGGCAUUCAAACCAUGGUUUAUUGAUUUGGACGUAGCACAAAGAUACACCUAACUGGCAAAUCAGAUCGUUGGACUGCGCUCAGCCCUUCAUAUUCACUGGAGUAAGGGGGCACCGGGUCCCUUUGAAAGUAAAAAAGAAAAAAGAAAAAGAAAGGAAAAAAAAGAUUUUUUGUAACCUAAGAUAAUCAUUUCUAGGUCUUUCAGCAUGACUCUCUAUGGUGAAUCUCCACUGAAAACUAAACACAGAAUCUCACUGGAGGAAUGUUUAACAUGUUCUCUCUAGAAAUUUUCAGGUUCUCCAGCAAGACUGGAGAAAGUUUACAGUAGACUAAUCACAUUGGGGGACCUAUAGCUUCCUACAGAGAACAUUUCAAAUCAAAUACAUUUAUUUAUUAUUUUAUUUCCAGAAUUUAUACCCCGCCCUUCUCACCCGGGGGGACUCAGGGCGGCUUACAUGCACAAUCAUAUCCAUGAAAGUCAAAACCACAUAUAGGGAGGGACUGUAUUUGCAUCCUGCCUCUUCCAAGGGUGCUAAAAUGCUAAGACCUGGAACCCCAAACCAAUUGUGUCCAACCAUCUCUUGGCUAUUGAUUAAAAAAAACAGAGGCAAAGGUUAUACAAUGCAGAAGGAAAUAAAGGAAACCAAAAUUUAAAAGUAUGAUCUAUCUCCUCCAAAUGGGACAAUCAGGUUAGCAACAGGGGCAAAUUCACUCCUCCAGUCCGUUCUCAGCCUUCAUAUCUUUUUUCCAGUUUCAAAUUGCAAAGCAAAUGCAAAAAGUCCCCAACCAACAAGGUCAUAAAUACAAAUGAAUCCUUUCAAGCCAGUGAGCAGGAGUUAACAUUUUGCCCUGGUGCUAACAGGGACUCUAAAACCCAUCUGCUUGAUAGUAGAGGGCAACCCAUGAGUAUGUGUGUGUGUGUGUUUUACUGUAGUGGUGGAUCUUAGCCUCUGAGUCUGGCUUUUUACAGCUUAGCAAAACAAAUACAAAUACAGUCAGCCCUCCACAUUUGCAGGUUUCAGUUUUGUGGAUUUGCUUAUUCAUGGGUUUGAGGACUAUAUUCUGUCUUGGAAUCUCUAGGCCAGCCGUUCCACAAAAGCACAAAAGGAUUCCAUGAAAAAUAUUUUAAGAAUAUAUAUAUAUCAAUGCUGGAGUAGGAAGAUUUUACUGAAAUUCAAUGUACCAAAAUUUGAAUCUGUGAAUGACUUUUGAGCAGGACAAACAGGUGUAUGCUCUCGGUAGCCAGAAAGCUAUCUGAGCAAUGCUCUCCAUCAUGUCCACCUAUUGAUGCAAAUUAGGCCUUCCAGCUUAUGCUGACACCAAAACUAAAUUGGGCACUCUGUUUUAAGUACAAGAAUGGAACUAUUUCAUUUAUCACUUUAAGUGUGCAUAUAAUAUUUUAGAAUACCAAAAUAAAUGUUUGUGGUUACAUCCAAUGCUUUGUUGUAUCAAAAUAAAGA